UUCCACUGACAUUUAGCCAAAAAAAAAAAAAAUGCUGCCACUUUAAUUGUGCUGACAACUCGAGAUCUCCCGAGUUCCAUCGAGAUCCCAUUCCCCACGACAUCAAACUACCGCGAGAUGCAGCCCUGCCUCGAUCUGCAUGCAGUGUGGAUCCCGCGAGAUUUCAUUCAGCAAUUCCCAUCCCCCACGCAGCACGCGCUGCAUCGCGCCGACGCCAUUACUACUCUCUGACUGCUUUGCUGUAAUUUUCGAGAGAAGACGUUUGCCGUCAGUGUAACCAAGAAAGUAAUCGGACGGUCUUGGAUGUUGAUGCAGUGGAGCAGAAAUUGGCAGACCCCACCUUCCAGAAACAAGUGCUUUCUGUGGUGGUAGAAAUUGGAGGCAGUACUGUGGAUGAAGCCACGAGAAGAAUGAGGGCCUUCCUUUUGGACCACCCCUUAUCAAGAGAGUUCAAUUUUGUUAGCCGGCAUGGAAAGUGAGAGUUUCGGGGGCUCAAACUGCUUGAGGUUGUAUAAGGAAGCCUGAAAAAAUUCUCUUAACCAAAUUACCAGAAAAGAGGCAGAAAAGUCAGCGUCAAAGUGGCUCAUCGGUGACGGGAGGAAACCGUUCUGCGAAGUCUCGUAGUAGAGAGCAAGAUAGGGCCGUUGGGAGAGCGAGGACAGAGGUGAGAGGAGCUGCAUGGUUGGUUUGUUUGUUUGUGAAAUAAUGUAUUUUAGAGUUUUCAGAUAUGUGUAUACAAACGAUACAAGUUAUUCCAAAUAAUGUUUGGCAGGAGCUUCACUUUAACUUUUUUUAAGAUGCUUAUGUUUUCAUAAAGUUGUAAAUACACAAGUUAUAAUGGUCAUGUUCAAAUUAUUCCAACGAAACCUUGUUUAAAGCAUGCAGAAUACAAGUUAUGAUGAUUUUUAUUUUUUACAAGAAAUAAAGUUUUUCAGGAGCUUAAAAUUAACUCUUUUUUUAUACUUGUUUUAUAAAGUUGUAAAUGUACAAGUUAUAAUAGUAAUGUUUAAAUUAUUCCAAAUAAACUUUGCUUAAAAUCAUGAA